GCCACCAGCAGCCCGGAGCACAGCAGCAGCGAGCGGCCCGCAGAGGCCCCCAGCUCCCAGUUGAUGCCCAUGCCGCGUGCCGGGCUCUCCGCCGGCCGCAGAGACAGACGCCCAGAUGAGAGCGAGUAGAGAGAAAGGUGGAGCAGGCGGGGCCUCUGGGUCUAAAGGUCUGGAGAUGCUGCUCAGUGAGAAGGCCCUGGGUUCAAUCCCCAGUACUGGAGAAGAAAAAAGAAAUCCAGAAAAGCAAUAAAAGUUUGUGGGAGGGGAGGAAGCAGUUAUAUCAGCUUGGUGCUAAAUGCUUUGAUUUAUGUUAUUUUAUUUAACUUCAGAUCAACCCUCUGAGGUCAGUGAAAUAAGGCAGUCAAAGACAACACUGUAAGAUUCCACGUAUAUGAGGCAUCUAAAGUAGAUUGACAGAAACAAUGAUGGUUACCAGGGGCUGGGAGAGCAGGAGAGAUGUUUAAAGGACAGUUUCAAGUUUGCAAGAUGCAAAAAGUUCUGGAGAUUUGAAUAUACUCAAUGUGAAUAUACUUAAAUAUACAAUAUUUAACAAUGUGAAUAAAACUUAAACUACUAACUUAAAAA